rnacentral:tRNA from 1 species
GCCUGGGUGGCUCAGUCGGUUGAGCGUCCGACUUCAGCUCGGGUCAUGAUCUCACAGUCUGUGGGUUCGAGCCCCGCGUCGGGGG